UGCCAGCCGCCGCGGUAAUACGGAGGGGGCUAGCGUUGUUCGGAAUAACUGGGCGUAAAGCGCGCGUAGGCGGAUUAUCAAGUUGGGGGUGAAAGCCCGGGGCUCAACCUCGGAACGGCCUCCAAAACUGAUAAUCUAGAGUUCUGGAGAGGUAAGUGGAAUUCCUAGUGUAGAGGUGAAAUUCGUAGAUAUUCGGAAGAACACCAGUGGCGAAGGCGGCUCACUGGUUCGAUACUGACGCUGAGGUGCGAAAGUGUGGGGAGCAAACAGGAUUAGAUA
rnacentral:rRNA from 1 species